GUGACCUUCUGAGCCAUCAUUUAUCUCCUCUGCCCAUCUUGUGUGAAUUCGGGGGGAACACGGAAGCUAGCGGUCGAAUUGUAGCAGUGAUGGGAGUUUUUAAUUGAAAAAAAAAAGUCCUCAUUAGUGAAAUACACUUGGGACCGGUGAAGAGAGGAUGCACUUUAAAUUGAAGAUGACGGUUCUUCCCGCACAAGCACCUCUCUAACGUACCCACAGAAGUUGACAAGUUGGCUGCGCCUGCCAGAAAAUGAGAUCACCGCGGACUCCAAAGAAAAAGUACGCAGUCACUUAACAACUGCAAAAAGAAACAACCUCUUUCAUUAGCGAAGCUGUCUGCGCCAACCUUUUUGGAGGCGGGUGAAGAUCUCAGAUGUGGAUUUCUGCUCACUCGCGAAGGUCUCCUUGACAUUUCACAGCGCUGCACGGCACUGGCUUCUCAUCCUCCGUCCCAGCGCCUUGUCUUAGAGAAGCGAAGCUUGGCCCCUGGUGACAUUUACCAAACUCAUCCAUACAUCCCCGCUUUACCACACCUGAAUGAGCGCAUCAGUGCAGUUCUUACUUGAUCUGAGCACAGCUGAUUCAGUCAGUCAAGAGGAUUACUAUGACAUGGUGACCGAUCAGGUGAGGUGGAUCAAAGGGAGAUGGAGGAUAAGGAGUGAAGGUCUCCCCUGGAUGGGUUUGUUUGUCGAAAAAAAAAAAAUAUAAAUAAACAAAACAGAGAUUCGAUUCAAAGGAUAUAUUUUUUUUGUUAACAAAAUGCUAUAAAUGCUCAUAAUGCAGACUAUAAAAUGACAUCAGAUAUUCGUUCUACACAGAUGUUUACUAGCUGCUUCCUUGGUCAUAAUGCCAAGUAGAUGUCACCCGUCACGGUCAGGCCUAGUUAUUAUGGACAGGCCCAAACCUGCCUCCGAUAAACUGCGUUGUCUUGAGAUUGGCUUGGUGCCGUCUUCCAUUCAUAACUUAAAAAUAAACAAACUGAACACCCUAUCCUCUAAUCUUAGCACACUGGUCCUGCGUGAUGUGGGUGACUUGAAAGUAGGAUCUACCGUGUGUGCACGUGGGUCAGCUUGGUGGGAGACUCAAGACUCACUCACCUCACCUAAAGGCUUUGCCACACUCCCUGCACGGGGCUCUCUACACAGCUAGCUAUGUCUAGCUCAAUCGUUGGUGGUUGGUGGUCAAGUUUUCUUUGGUUGGUGGUUUAUCCAAGUGGACACAAAGAUGGUAAUCCAAACACCAUUAGUUCAAAAUGCCCACAAGAUGGCAACAAAGAGGGGAAACAAUAGGGCCCUGCUCCUGCAUAAGACCUAACCUAUUUGAGAGCCAAGAGAGGGCAGGUGUGCUUUUACCGAUCAGCCACAGGUAGUGACGUCACAGAAGGCCCACCUGUACAUCAGUCCUAUUCCUAACCAUGUGACCUACCUUCUCACAAUGCUGGGAAUCCAAAUCAAUUCCCACUCAGUUUCAACAAACUGAUAUCCAUGAAAUAGCAACCUUUUUUAAUUUCAGAAUUGCCAAAAAUUGUAUUCGAUACUAUAAUACUGAAAUUGCCUUGUUGGCCAAGAUGAUUGAUGCAAGGAGUUGUUUCUUGAGAUCUUUAAUAAUAAAUGCAGGCUGCAAGUCUCCCGUAACUCAUUACUGCAUGUAAGGGUUAAUAAAAGCCCAGGGUUGUAGCUGAUGUAAGAUGUGAAAAGGACACACACAAACCCUCGGCUGUCCUACUUCCACAUG